GGGGGUGUGGCUCAGCAGUAGAGCACUCGCCUCACACGUGCGAAACCCUGAGUUCAAUCCUCAGCACCCAUA
rnacentral:tRNA from 1 species